AUCUGCCGAGCCGCCCGCGCAGCAGCGCUCGGCUUCCUGUUAGUCCGCGGGGUCGGAGCCGUACAGCCUCCCCCGCCCGGAAGGCCACGAAACCCGCCCUUUCCGAGGUUCUCGGGGCCCCGGGCCGCUCCGAGGCAGACCCGGCCCCAGGUGCGUUCCCAGGCCGGGGUGACGGGGGUACUCUUGCCGCUGCCCCGCACCCACCCCUGCUACAAGCCGGAACAAUUGCAGUGUCCUUUCCAAACCAGCCCAAACGGCCUCCUCCGGGAAGCCUGCCAGGACCUCCUCUCUGGGCCUGCAAAGACCCUUCCUUUCGAGCCAUCACUCUGGGCCAGAAGCAGUGAGCCUCCUGGCACUGUCUCCUUCAAUCGCGCAGGGGAGAAGGAGGCGUUAAGAGAUAAAAUAUUGAGCGGGCGCGGUGGCUGACGCCUGUAAUCCCAGCACUUUGGGAGGCCGAGGCGGGUGGAUCACGAGGUCAGGAGUUUGAGACCAGCCUGGCCAACAUGGUGAAACCCCGUCUCUACUAAAAAUACAAAAAUUAGCCGGGCGUGGUGAUGCGCGCCUGUAGUCCCAGCUACUCAGGAGGCUGAGGCAGAAGAAUGGCGUGAACCCGGGAGGCGGAGGUUGUAGUGAGCCGAGAUGGUGCCACUGCACUCCAGCCUGGGAGACAGAGCAAGACUCCGUCUGAAAAAAAAAAAAAAAAAAAAUCAGAUAUUGCCCGAGGCCCUGUAGCUGGUGAGGGUCAAAGCCAAGAACCUGAAAUCUGCCCUGUCCGCCUUCCCCACCAACAUGAUACCCCCGAGCGGGCCUGUGCUUUAUUCACCAGCUUCCUCGCCCAGGAGAACAGGUACUUAGGGAGGGAACAGACACCACCAGCUAUGCCUGCUUCUUUCCUGAGGUCAUAUCAGCGGCUCCUCCUUCCCCACCAACAUGAUACCCCCGAGCGGGCCUGUGCUUUAUUCACCAGCUUCCUCGCCCAGGAGAGCAGGUGUUUAGGGAGGGAACAGACACCACCAGCUAUGCCUGCUUCUUUCCUGAGGUCAUAUCGGCGGCUCCUUCUUCCUUCCAUUUCCCAGCUACCACCAUCCCUCCCUCUGGGACAGGCAGGUCUCUUCCAGGCCUCCCUGCUUCCAUUCACCCCAGCCCCUUCCAUGUAGGGCCUGGAGGGAUCUUUUUUUUUUUUUUCUUUGAGAUGGAGUCUGGCUGUGUCCCAGAGGCUGGAGUGCAGUGGCGUGAUCUCGGCUCACUGCAAGCUCCACCUCCAGGGUUCACACCGUUCUCCUGCCUCAGCCUCCUGAGUAGCUGGGACUACAGGCGCCCACCACCACGCCCGGCUAAUUUUUUUGUAUUUUUAGUAGAGACGGGGUUUCACCGUGUUACCUAGGAUGUUCUCGAACUCCUGACCUCGUGAUCCACCCGCCUCGGCCUCCCAAAGUGCUGGGAUUACAGGUUUGAGCCACCGCACCCGGCCAAGAGAUCUUUUUAAAAACCAAC
rnacentral:lncRNA from 1 species